AACGCACAUUGCGCCCCUUGGUAUUCCGAGGGGCAUGCCUGUUCGAGCGUCAUUUCGACAAUCAAGCAACGCUUGGUGUUGGGCGCCAGGCCCGCCCACCGCGGCGGGCCCGCCCGAAAUGCAUCGGCGAGGAGACCGACCCCCGGCGUACUAAGGACCCCCAAAAGUUCGCACGUCGGGAGCACCGGUGGCCUCCGCCGCAACAACCAACUCCCCCCGGGGAGAUCAGAAGGUUGACCUCGGAUCAGGUAGGGAUACCCGCUGAACUUAA
rnacentral:misc_RNA from 1 species